rnacentral:tRNA from 1 species
GCCCACGUGGCCUAAUGGAUAAGGCGUCUGACUUCUAAUCAAAAGAUUGUCGGUUCGACCCAGCCAUGGGCU